GUGAGGUUUACAACUCAUGUCUGUCUUCAUUUUAAUAGACUAGUCAAUCUGUAACCAGAGAUGAUUAAGAAGGUUGUUAAAAGAAAAUAAGCUGUCCACCAUGCUGAUGCCCAGUUGUUCAGAUUGUUGAGGUGGUGUAGAGAUGACGCACACUGGCUCAGUUUACCCACAUUUGGAUCCAUGGACCUGCAAGUUCAGCCAACCCGUAUUGCACAUUGAAAGCCAUUAGUUGCUCCCACCUCUAAUAGGAGCUAUAGAUAGUGGAUUUCAAGAGAGUACCAAGGUUGCUACUCCAUAAUGGUCAGAAGAGCAAGCCAAAAACAUCUCAGUAAACACAGAAACCUCACAUCUCACGGAGGUUUACUUAACAAAAAUAUCAAGACCCGGUAUACCUGGAAAACUGCAGAUGUCAACAUUGGUUUAUCACAUCAUAUUCCUCCUGACACAACUCCUUCCCUUGGAAGGAUGAGUCCAUUAGUUAUUCGCUGGCUAUCAGAAACUUUUGCAUUGCUGGAGUUGAAUGACAAGUUUUUCACUUGUGUCAGGUGAUGAAGACAAAGUGUUGAUUUUUUGUUCAGAAAUAGAGGAAAACAAUUCUGAGAUACAGUGAGAGGCUCAGAAAAAGCAAUCCAGUAUCUAAGCAAAGAGAGGGAUGUGGCUGGGAAUUGCCGGAAAAGACUGAGAAACACCUGAAUUUUAAUUCAGCACCAUCACCGAAAAUCACCA